AGCACAGACUUGUGGCAGCCCUCUUCUAUGCCUGAGGGAUAUAGGCGUGAACAAGACAGAUAAGUCCUUGUUCUUACGGGACUUAAUUUUAGAGGGGGUGGUAGACAAUGCACGUGUAAGAAAAUAGCAAAGUCUGCCCAGAACAAUCUGACAAAGGCAGUAGAUGCUUUUAGUAAGUAUUUUCUGUAUCUGAAAUGCAAGAACUGUUCAGGAACAACUUCGGCAUUUGCCUUUCCCCUAUUCCCUGGUAACUUUGGAUUGAUGACACCCCAGGGUUUGCAUUUUUCCAGAAAAGUCUUUUAAGUUAUGUGUCACCAAGGAGAUGCUCCUUCUUAGUAUUACAACUGCUUAUACAGGUCUGGAAUUAACUUUCUUCUCUGGUGUAUAUGGAACCUGUAUUGGUGCUACAAAUAAAUUUGGAGCAGAAGAGAAAAGCCUUAUUGGACUUUCUGGCAUUUUCAUCGGCAUUGGAGAAAUUUUAGGUGGAAGCCUCUUCGGCCUGCUGAGCAAGAACAAUCGUUUUGGUAGAAAUCCAGUUGUGCUGUUGGGCAUCCUGGUGCACUUCAUAGCUUUUUA
rnacentral:sRNA from 1 species